UACAGAGGUCUCAAGCGUUGUUCGGAUUCAUUGGGCGUAAAGGGUGCGUAGGUGGCGCCAUAAGUCAGGUGUGAAAUCUCGGGGCUCAACCCCGAAACUGCACUUGAUACUGUGGUGCUCGAGUACUGGAGAGGAGAUUGGAAUUUACGGUGUAGCAGUGAAAUGCGUAGAUAUCGUAAGGAAGACCAGUGGCGAAGGCGAAUCUCUGGACAGUUACUGACACUGAGGUACGAAGGCCAGGGGAGCAAACAGG
rnacentral:rRNA from 1 species